rnacentral:rRNA from 1 species
UACGUAGGGGGCAAGCGUUGUCCGGAAUCAUUGGGCGUAAAGAGCGUGUAGGCGGCCCGGUAAGUCCGCUGUGAAAGUCGGGGGCUCAACCCUCGAAUGCCGGUGGAUACUGUCGGGCUAGAGUGCGGAAGAGGCGAGUGGAAUUCCUGGUGUAGCGGUGAAAUGCGCAGAUAUCAGGAGGAACACCUAUUGCGAAGGCAGCUCGCUGGGACGUUACUGACGCUGAGACGCGAAAGCGUGGGGAGCAAACAGG